UGUGAACUACAAUGUUUCAGGACAUUCUGAUGUUGAAUUCCAAAAUAAGAGCCCCCAAACUCGAAUAUUAGAUGUUUUGUUUACACAUUCAGAAAAUCAUAAAAAUAAAAGUCCUAGUUUCCACAGACCAAUUUCACAUCAGGUGGGGAGGACACCUUCUCAAGGUGUGAACUACAAUGUUUCAGGACAUUCUGAUGUUGAAUUCCAAAAUAAGAGCCCCCAAACUCGAAUAUUAGAUGUUUUGUUUACACAUUCAGAAAAUCAUAAAAAUAAAAGUCCUAGUUUCCACAGACCAAUUUCACAUCAGGUGGGGAGGACACCUUCUCAAGGUGUGAACUACAAUGUUUCAGGACAUUCUGAUGUUGAAUUCCAAAAUAAGAGCCCCCAAACUCGAAUAUUAGAUGUUUUGUUUACACAUUCAGAAAAUCAUAAAAAUAAAAGUCCUAGUUUCCACAGACCAAUUUCA